GCCCUGGUAGUGUAGCGGCCUAUCAUGAGGGACUGUCACUCCCUCGACUCGGGUUCAAAUCCCGACCAGGGCG
rnacentral:tRNA from 1 species